GGUUAAGCGACUAAGCGUACACGGUGGAUGCCCUGGCAGUCAGAGGCGAUGAAGGACGUGCUAAUCUGCGAAAAGCGUCGGUAAGGUGAUAUGAACCGUUACAGCCGGCGAUGUCCGAAUGGGGAAACCCAGUGCAAUUCGUUGCACUAUCGUUUGAUGAAUACAUAGUCAAACGAGGCGAACCGGGGGAACUGAAACAUCUAAGUACCCCGAGGAAAAGAAAUCAACCGAGAUUCCCCCAGUAGCGGCGAGCGAACGGGGAGCAGCCCGGAGUCUGAAUCAGCUUGUGUGUUAGUGGAAGCGUCUGGAAAGUCGCAGGGUACAGGGUGAUACUCCCGUACACUAAAACGCACAGGUUGUGAACUCGAAGAGUAGGGCGGGACACGUGGUAUCCUGUCUGAAUAUGGGGGGACCAUCCUCCAAGGCUAAAUACUCCUGACUGACCGAUAGUGAACCAGUACCGUGAGGGAAAGGCGAAAAGAACCCCGGCGAGGGGAGUGAAAAAGAACCUGAAACCGUGUACGUACAAGCAGUAGGAGCCCACUAGUUGGGUGACUGCGUACCUUUUGUAUAAUGGGUCAGCGACUUAUAUUCUGUAGCAAGGUUAACCGUAUAGGGGAGCCGCAGGGAAACCGAGUCUUAACUGGGCGUUAAGUUGCAGGGUAUAGACCCGAAACCCGGUGAUCUAGCCAUGGGCAGGUUGAAGGUUGGGUAACACUAACUGGAGGACCGAACCGACUAAUGUUGAAAAAUUAGCGGAUGACUUGUGGCUGGGGGUGAAAGGCCAAUCAAACCGGGAGAUAGCUGGUUCUCCCCGAAAGCUAUUUAGGUAGCGCCUCGUGAACUCAUCUUCGGGGGUAGAGCACUGUUUCGGCUAGGGGGUCAUCCCGACUUACCAACCCGAUGCAAACUACGAAUACCGAAGAAUGUUAUCACGGGAGACACACGGCGGGUGCUAACGUCCGUCGUGAAGAGGGAAACAACCCAGACCGCCAGCUAAGGUCCCAAAGUCAUGGUUAAGUGGGAAACGAUGUGGGAAGGCCCAGACAGCCAGGAUGUUGGCUUAGAAGCAGCCAUCAUUUAAAGAAAGCGUAAUAGCUCACUGGUCGAGUCGGCCUGCGCGGAAGAUGUAACGGGGCUAAACCAUGCACCGAAGCUGCGGCAGCGACACUAUGUGUUGUUGGGUAGGGGAGCGUUCUGUAAGCCGUUGAAGGUGGCCUGUGAGGGUUGCUGGAGGUAUCAGAAGUGCGAAUGCUGACAUAAGUAACGAUAAUGCGGGUGAAAAACCCGCACGCCGGAAGACCAAGGGUUCCUGUCCAACGUUAAUCGGGGCAGGGUGAGUCGACCCCUAAGGCGAGGCCGAAAGGCGUAGUCGAUGGGAAACAGGUUAAUAUUCCUGUACUCGGUGUUACUGCGAAGGGGGGACGGAGAAGGCUAUGUUGGCCGGGCGACGGUUGUCCCGGUUUAAGCAUGUAGGCGGAUGUUCCAGGUAAAUCCGGAACGUUACUAACGCUGAGGUGUGAUGACGAGGCACUACGGUGCUGAAGUGACAAAUGCCCUGCUUCCAGGAAAAGCCUCUAAGCAUCAGGUAACAUCAAAUCGUACCCCAAACCGACACAGGUGGUCAGGUAGAGAAUACCAAGGCGCUUGAGAGAACUCGGGUGAAGGAACUAGGCAAAAUGGUGCCGUAACUUCGGGAGAAGGCACGCUGAUGGUAGGUGAAGCGACUUGCUCGUGGAGCUGAAAUCAGUCGAAGAUACCAGCUGGCUGCAACUGUUUAUUAAAAACACAGCACUGUGCAAACACGAAAGUGGACGUAUACGGUGUGACGCCUGCCCGGUGCCGGAAGGUUAAUUGAUGGGGUUAUCCGUAAGGAGAAGCUCUUGAUCGAAGCCCCGGUAAACGGCGGCCGUAACUAUAACGGUCCUAAGGUAGCGAAAUUCCUUGUCGGGUAAGUUCCGACCUGCACGAAUGGCGUAAUGAUGGCCAGGCUGUCUCCACCCGAGACUCAGUGAAAUUGAACUCGCUGUGAAGAUGCAGUGUACCCGCGGCAAGACGGAAAGACCCCGUGAACCUUUACUAUAGCUUGACACUGAACACUGGUCCUUGAUGUGUAGGAUAGGUGGGAGGCUUUGAAGUGUGGACGCCAGUCUGCAUGGAGCCAUCCUUGAAAUACCACCCUUUAAUGGCUGGUGUUCUAACGUGGGCCCCUGAUCGGGGUUGCGGACAGUGUCUGGUGGGUAGUUUGACUGGGGCGGUCUCCUCCUAAAGAGUAACGGAGGAGCACGAAGGUCAGCUAAUCCUGGUCGGACAUCAGGAGGUUAGUGCAAUGGCAUAAGCUGGCUUGACUGCGAGCGUGACGGCGCGAGCAGGUGCGAAAGCAGGUCAUAGUGAUCCGGUGGUUCUGAAUGGAAGGGCCAUCGCUCAACGGAUAAAAGGUACUCCGGGGAUAACAGGCUGAUACCGCCCAAGAGUUCAUAUCGACGGCGGUGUUUGGCACCUCGAUGUCGGCUCAUCACAUCCUGGGGCUGAAGUAGGUCCCAAGGGUAUGGCUGUUCGCCAUUUAAAGUGGUACGCGAGCUGGGUUUAGAACGUCGUGAGACAGUUCGGUCCCUAUCUGCCGUGGGCGCUGGAGAAUUGAGGGGGGCUGCUCCUAGUACGAGAGGACCGGAGUGGACGCAUCACUGGUGUUCGGGUUGUCAUGCCAAUGGCAUUGCCCGGUAGCUAAAUGCGGAAGAGAUAAGUGCUGAAAGCAUCUAAGCACGAAACUUGCCCCGAGAUGAGUUCUCCCUGACCCUUUAAGGGUCCUGAAGGAACGUUGAAGACGACGACGUUGAUAGGCCGGGUGUGUAAGCGCAGCGAUGCGUUGAGCUAACCGGUACUAAUGAACCGUGAGGCUUAACCUU
rnacentral:rRNA from 1 species